AUUGAACGCUGGCGGCAUGCCUUACACAUGCCAGUCGAACGGUAACAGGUUAAGCUGACGAGUGGCGAACGGGUGAGUAAUGUAUCGGAACGUGCCCAGUCGUGGGGGAUAACUGCUCGAAAGAGCAGCUAAUACCGCAUACGACCUGAGGGUGAAAGCUGGGGAUCGCAAGACCUCGCGCGAUUGGAGCGGCCGAUAUCAGAUUAGGUAGUUGGUGAGGUAAAGGCUCACCAAGCCGACGAUCUGUAGCUGGUCUGAGAGGACGACCAGCCACACUGGGACUGAGACACGGCCCAGACUCCUACGGGAGGCAGCAGUGGGGAAUUUUGGACAAUGGGCGCAAGCCUGAUCCAGCCAUGCCGCGUGCGGGAAGAAGGCCUUCGGGUUGUAAACCGCUUUUGUCAGGGAAGAAAAGGUUCUGGCUAAUACCUGGGACUCAUGACGGUACCUGAAGAAUAAGCACCGGCUAACUACGUG
rnacentral:rRNA from 1 species